rnacentral:rRNA from 1 species
UACGUAGGGUGCGAGCGUUGUCCGGAAUUAUUGGGCGUAAAGAGCUCGUAGGUGGUUUGUCACGUCGUCUGUGAAAUUCCGGGGCUUAACCUCGGGCGUGCAGGCGAUACGGGCAAUACUUGAGUGCUGUAGGGGAGACUGGAAUUCCUGGUGUAGCGGUGAAAUGCGCAGAUAUCAGGAGGAACACCAAUGGCGAAGGCAGGUCUCUGGGCAGUUACUGACGCUGAGGAGCGAAAGCAUGGGUAGCGAACAGGAUUAGAUA